GACCGGGGAUGGACCUCAAAGCUCUGAGAACGGGUAUUCUCUGUGUGCACAGGGGAGCCCAUUUCCUCACACGGGGCCAGCCUGGAUUUCGGCUUUGUCACUGCUUUGAGCUGGCACACACCAACCGGCACACUUCCCUGCCUGUGCAUUUUGGCAGCCUGUGAACAGGAAGUGCGGGGCAGCAGAUUUCCAGGAAUGAAACCCUUCCAACAAAGAAGAAAUGAACUGACAGGAUGAGGGAGGCCAGGACCUUGAGAAACAUGCUGAGCAGUCAAAGGUGUCGAGGGUCAUUUUCCACCUUUGCAAGAUGGAAUAAAUAGUCUUCAGAGAACAGAAAGCCUUCAACAGGGAGGGAGAAAUGUCCGACCAGCAAGAAAAGACCAAUGAAAAAUGAUGAAGCACCUACAAGAAGAGAAGUACUGUUAGAUCGCAGGAAGCUGUGCUCCAGGCAAGUUGAUGCCAACAAAAGACAUGGUACAGACAGAAGCGAUGCCAGGGUGACGGAAAAGCUAGAGCAGCACGCACAGAUCCCUGCGCACAAGAGCACCAACGGCCCCCGAGAAAUCGGGCUUUUGGAAUGUGAAAAAUCCGCGCCUCUGGGAUGGGGCCUCCCCUUAAGCUGGACAUGGCUCAGGACGGACUCGUGCUCCAGGAGGAAGGUGAGAGGCACGUGGCCCAGAGCCCUUCCUGGAUCAGCCACUAAUCUGCAAACUCCAGAGGGCCUUGCCCAUGGAAGGGGAAGCCCAUACUCUGCCAGUGGGCUCCCCUCGUCAUCAAGGUCCUGACUUCCGGCCGAGCCCCAGGACAGCCGCUCUGCAGCCACAGGGUGUGUGCAAGGGUUCGCCACACACCAGGCCCGGAAGCGGGUCAGUAAAGCACAAGUAGUACCACCGUGAGCAAGCAGCGGCCGGAAACUGCAAGUGCCCUCGACCACAGAACUUCCAGGGCCUCCAGCUCACUUCAGAGGAAUAUCUCGGUAUUCAGUGUGAGUGAAACAAAGAGACAACAUACUGUCAUAGGAAGAGGCCUGGGCAGGUCAAUUUCUCCCAAUAAAAAGGGAUAUAAGAUGUUGUCUGGUUCUGGACAUACAGCUCAGUUCAUGAAAAAUCUCCCAGAGUCACCAGCGCCUGAAAGCCACAGAAAAGAUAGGAUGUGUGCAUGUGUAUGUGUGCACGCACACGUGUGUGUCAUGAUAAAUGACCUUUUCCAAGGCCUAAUGUGGGUAAAGAACAGAAUGAGGUGUUUUAGCAAUAAUAUUUGCUCUUGGAGUAAGGUAUUUUGUGUAUAACUAAACUGAAGCAGACCUGCUAAGGAAUAUGCCAUCCCAGGAGUGGGAGCAAACUUAGACAAGCCCUUUGAUCCUGUCUAGACAGCUAGAAGCACUCAUGUUACAUCACAGUGGCAACAAUACUAAAAUGUUCUCUGUCACUGAGUACUUGUGAUUUUCAGAGCGGGGAGAGCUCAGUCAACGGACUGACACAUGAUAAAGUUAAAAGGAAGCCUGUGUUCUAGGAAGAGGUGCUUGUAC
rnacentral:lncRNA from 1 species